CAGUCACAGUCUGCUGGUCUGCAGCUCCAGUGGUCAGGCAGGAGUUCAUUCUUUUCUGGUGUCUUUGUCUGAAUGUUUUUCUGACGGCCAGACAAUCCUUUCAACUCUGAAACCUCAGUCUCUGCCUCGUCUCUGUCUCCGAUCCAGGGCUGUGAUUCUGCGCUGAACUGGUCACACCAUCGUUCAAGCGGCUCCUCCUGCCUACAGACGGACGUUUUCCCAGAAGUCCAUGCAACCCAGCAGUGACCUGAAGUUACCAAGUCUCUGGGAUGUAUUGUGGCAGACUUUAAAUGUGAGGAAGAGAAACUCUCAUCACCCAUCACCUCUGUGAGAUGAAAGGCCCCAAAAGCAGCCAGCCACCCUGCCGGACACAGCUCAGCUGUUAUAAGAAGUGUCUGACAGAAGUGGCAGGGUUACAGCACAGAAAAGCAACAAGAAGAACUCAUCCUCUUGUUAUCCUGAUGCAAUUAGAGCCCAUGAGUGGCCCUCAAAUGCCAGUUAAAGUCUGGAGGAUGUCAUCUGAACUUUUUUAUGGCUCCCUGUGUCAGGUCAGUGAUUAUGGCUAUCCUGACUUCUAUUUGAAGACUGAAUACAGUCUGCUUUCAAGAGGAAGAAGGAGAGGUAUUACCCAUAGAGCUGGAAGUUGUGCGCACUGCAAUGCCUUGGCACUCUUCUUUGGUGUGGAAGUAAACUGCAGAUGCUUAAUUUGGAACAUACACCCAAAACUUCUUAAAGUCUUUUUAAAACACUGGCUUCAGGCUCAAAAAGUUGUUUAAGGACCUGGUGGAGGGAGAAGAGCAAAGGACUUCCUCCACCUUUAGCUUUAGCCCUGA